CCUUGUACACACCGCCCGUCACGGCAUGGGAGUUGGUUUUACCCGAAGACGGUGCGCUAACCGCAAGGAGGGCAGCCGGCCACGGUAGGAUCAGCAACUGGGCCG
rnacentral:rRNA from 1 species